CAUUUACAAAAUUGGGUGCUAUGUAUCACACUCAUUCCCACUAAUCUGACAUCCCCUUUCUUCUUCUCCAAUCAUAAACCCCAUCUCUGGACAAAUUACAGAACAGUAAUGGACCAAAUUUACACUAGUAAAUUUCAAUUUCAGCUUCCUGCAACCAAGCCAUAAUAGAUUUCGAAAUCAUAAUCGCAUCACUGUCAACAAGUUCACCUUUCGCACCUUCAUCUUCUGGAUUCGCAUUUACAGAUCUAGAGCCAUUCACCACCACAAGCUUAACCUCAAACACCUGAGUAAAGAGUUUGUUCAUCUGCGCAGAUGCUGCUGCCUCAAACACUUCCUUUAGUUCACUUUUGACCGAGUGAAGCUCUGACUACGUAAUCGCUGUCAAAUCUGACUGUGGAGGUGUUCUAGCAGUAAUCAACUGAUAAAAUCAAUCGCUCGAUGAGUUGGGCUCCUUAUGGUUCGAGGAACAAGAAGCGGCAGCGAUGACGAUGGUUAUACCAUUGAUAAAAACAAAGAGAUACAAAGGUUUAAGCCAAGAUAUAAUGACACUCCAAAUGGUUGGGAAUUCAUGAAAACCCUGUGGAAUUGACGCUUUUAAUACCAUUGCUAAGGAAAAUGCCCCAAUUGAUAUUAGCACAACCUUUAGUGAUAGAAUUAAACUUUUUGUCGAUGAUGCAAUUUUAAUUUCUCCGAUAACUUUAACAAAUUUAUCUGUUUUUUCGGCUAGUGCUUUGAAUUUUCCGGUGAGUUAUUUAAUUGAGCUGUAAAGUAAUUUAAUAAAGGCACAAUGUUUACAUAUAAAAUCAAGCUUUGAAGGAAAAGAAAAUUUUAGGGCAGAAACUCAUAUGAGAUUUUCAGAUGACCAAGAUCCUAAUUUGGAGAAGAAGACCGAAAAUCAGUGGGUUUAAUAUAGUUUUAUGACCCAUGUAACAAAUUUAGGGUCGGUUCAAGUAAGUGGGUCGAAAUAAAUUAUUUUGGCCCAAACUGCCACAUGGUCCAGUAAAAAAAUUCCAUGUCAUUAAGUCAAGGCCUAUAGGUUCUUCCGUUAAACUUGGG
rnacentral:lncRNA from 1 species